rnacentral:rRNA from 1 species
UUUAUGGAGAGUUUGAUCCUGGCUCAGGAUGAACGCUGGCGGCGUGCCUAAUACAUGCAAGUCGAGCGAACGGACGAGAAGCUUGCUUCUCUGAUGUUAGCGGCGGACGGGUGAGUAACACGUGGAUAACCUACCUAUAAGACUGGGAUAACUUCGGGAAACCGGAGCUAAUACCGGAUAAUAUUUUGAACCGCAUGGUUCAAAAGUGAAAGACGGUCUUGCUGUCACUUAUAGAUGGAUCCGCGCUGCAUUAGCUAGUUGGUAAGGUAACGGCUUACCAAGGCAACGAUGCAUAGCCGACCUGAGAGGGUGAUCGGCCACACUGGAACUGAGACACGGUCCAGACUCCUACGGGAGGCAGCAGUAGGGAAUCUUCCGCAAUGGGCGAAAGCCUGACGGAGCAACGCCGCGUGAGUGAUGAAGGUCUUCGGAUCGUAAAACUCUGUUAUUAGGGAAGAACAUAUGUGUAAGUAACUGUGCACAUCUUGACGGUACCUAAUCAGAAAGCCACGGCUAACUACGUGCCAGCAGCCGCGGUAAUACGUAGGUGGCAAGCGUUAUCCGGAAUUAUUGGGCGUAAAGCGCGCGUAGGCGGUUUUUUAAGUCUGAUGUGAAAGCCCACGGCUCAACCGUGGAGGGUCAUUGGAAACUGGAAAACUUGAGUGCAGAAGAGGAAAGUGGAAUUCCAUGUGUAGCGGUGAAAUGCGCAGAGAUAUGGAGGAACACCAGUGGCGAAGGCGACUUUCUGGUCUGUAACUGACGCUGAUGUGCGAAAGCGUGGGGAUCAAACAGGAUUAGAUACCCUGGUAGUCCACGCCGUAAACGAUGAGUGCUAAGUGUUAGGGGGUUUCCGCCCCUUAGUGCUGCAGCUAACGCAUUAAGCACUCCGCCUGGGGAGUACGACCGCAAGGUUGAAACUCAAAGGAAUUGACGGGGACCCGCACAAGCGGUGGAGCAUGUGGUUUAAUUCGAAGCAACGCGAAGAACCUUACCAAAUCUUGACAUCCUUUGACAACUCUAGAGAUAGAGCCUUCCCCUUCGGGGGACAAAGUGACAGGUGGUGCAUGGUUGUCGUCAGCUCGUGUCGUGAGAUGUUGGGUUAAGUCCCGCAACGAGCGCAACCCUUAAGCUUAGUUGCCAUCAUUAAGUUGGGCACUCUAAGUUGACUGCCGGUGACAAACCGGAGGAAGGUGGGGAUGACGUCAAAUCAUCAUGCCCCUUAUGAUUUGGGCUACACACGUGCUACAAUGGACAAUACAAAGGGUAGCGAAAC